AUUGAACGCUGGCGGCAGGCCUAACACAUGCAAGUCGAGCGGAUGAAGGGAGCUUGCUCCUGGAUUCAGCGGCGGACGGGUGAGUAAUGCCUAGGAAUCUGCCUGGUUGUGGGGGAUAACGUCCGGAAACGGGCGCUAAUACCGCAUACGUCCUGAGGGAGAAAGUGGGGGAUCUUCGGACCUCACGCUAUCAGAUGAGCCUAGGUCGGAUUAGCUAGCUGGUGGGGUAAAGGACUACCAAGGCGACGAUCCGUAACUGGUCUGAGAGGAUGAUCAGUCACACUGGAACUGAGACACGGUCCAGACUCCUACGGGAGGCAGCAGUGGGGAAUAUUGGACAAUGGGCGAAAGCCUGAUCCAGCCAUGCCGCGUGUGUGAAGAAGGUCUUCGGAUUGUAAAGCACUUUAAGUUGGGAGGAAGGGCAGUAAGUUAAUACCUUGCUGUUUUGACGGUACCAACAGAAUAAGCACCGGCUAACUUCGUG
rnacentral:rRNA from 1 species